rnacentral:lncRNA from 1 species
UCUUUGCCUGCUAAGAGACACACUAUAUAUGCUUGAAUGUCAGGGAAAUGAAAACCCUCUCUUUGCUGAUUUUUCUUCAUUAAAACCUAUAUAUAAGCUAAGCCAAAUAACAACCAGAAUAUGGAGGAAGAAGGAAAUGAAGAGGAUGAAGACAAAUGUGUUCAGUUCAUGAACAUUAUGCUUCUCUCCUUUUGAAGAGAGGAGCAUGAAAUUAAAAGGCAAUUCAUCUAGGCUAAGGGAAGGCCAAGCCUUUCUUCCAGGUUCCAUUCGUGAUGCUACACCGGCACUGGUGAUUACGACAGCUAAAUCAAAUCAAAUAGAGUCUGCAUUUUCAUCUUAAAUCAAUCAAUGUUUGUUUAGUGUUGUUGUAUCUCUUUCUGCUCAUUCUUUAAACUAGUUAGUUUGAAUGGUUAACUCAGAAACCAUGCAUGAUAUAUAUCUAAAUAAAUAUAAUCCAAUAGAUGUAUGUGUCUGUUACGAAGGCAAGCAGCAGAAACUGAGACGGUAACUUGUAUUGUAAUGUUUGCUCUGUUUUUGCUGCAAGCAAUGAAUAAAAUGGUAAACAGUUUGUUGUCACAUAGAAAACUUAAGUGUUUUCCACUGUCAGCAUUUACCUUGUGCUGUAAACAUGUCUGUUGUCUGUUAUUUUUGGAAUUUGUUUAAUGCGACGUGUCCAUUUGUUUCGAAGUUACAAGCUCAAGUCAAGUGCUGACAUAACAUCUUCACUCUGCAGUAAGUCACGAACAAUACGGGUACAUAACUAUAUAUCAUAUGUGAAGAUCUAUGUAAGCAGUUAUCCAUGUACUCAAAGAUUUAUGUAAGCAGUUAUACAUGUACUGCCUCCUAAUUCCUAACAAUAGUAUGACAUUAACAACACACCCAAUUAACCCAACUAACUACCAACGUGAUGUGAGGUUAAACACAGAAAUGAUACCAUUAUACAUCGCACACCUAGUGCUACCACAAGUGAAAAACAUACCAAAAAAAGAUAUUAUAUGAAGACCUUGGAAAGAAGUUCAAAAUGUGUUUUGAUAUAAUGUGAGUGUUCAUUUCUUAGUCUUAUCAGCCUAAAAAGAUAAUUAGAUGUAUUUAUGCAGAUUUUUCUGCCCAAACACCAUACAAGACAGUAUUACUUCGGCGUAUGAGGAUGCUGUGACUCAUGAAAUCCACAUGGCUAGAC